AGAGCGAACGCUGGCGGCAGGCCUAACACAUGCAAGUCGAGCGCCCGUAGCAAUACGGGAGCGGCAGACGGGAUAGUAACACGUGGGAACGCGCCCUUCGGUUCGGAAUAACUCAGGGAAACUUGAGCUAAUACCGAAUACGCCCUUACGGGGAAAGAUUUAUUGCCGAAGGAACGGCCCGCGUCCGAUUAGCUAGUUGGUGAGGUAAUGGCUCACCAAGGCUACGAUCGGUAGCUGGUCUGAGAGGAUGACCAGCAUCACUGGGACUGAGACACGGCCCAGACUCCUACGGGAGGCAGCAGUGGGGAAUAUUGGACAAUGGGCGAAAGCCUGAUCCAGCCAUACCGCGUGGAUGAUGAAGGCCUUAGGGUUGUAAAGUCCUUUUAACGGGGAAGAUAAUGACGGUACCCGUAGAAUAAGCCCCGGCUAACUUCGUGCCAGCAGCCGC
rnacentral:rRNA from 1 species